AUGGCCGGACGAGAUACCGGCCUCACAGGAGGAGGAGAAGAGCAACCCCGCGAGCGCCGGCCGUACCUCGCCUCCCAGUGCCGGGACCUCGCCAACGCGGACCGCUGGCGUGGCGAGAUCCUACGCGAGAUCGGCGCCAAGUUGGCCGAGAUCCAGAACGAGGGCCUCGGGGAGCACCACCUCUCAGAUCUCAACGACCAAAUCAACAAGCUUCUCCACGAGCGCGGCCACUGGGAGCGCCUCAUCCUCGAGCUCGGAGGCCACGACUACUCUCGGAGCUCCAACGUCGCCCUGAUGACCAACCUCGACGGCAACAUCAUCGCCAUCCCCAACCCCUCGGGUCGUGGACCAGGCUACCGCUACUUUGGCGCUGCCAAGAACCUCCCCGGCAUCCACGAGCUAUUUGACAAGCCACCUGAGGUCCGCAAGCGCGGCACCCGCUACGGGAUCCACAAGCGCAUCAGUGGCGGGGCAUUCUACACAAUUGUUUCCCUCCCACUAAACCUGAAGUUAUUAGCCCUACACAAUGGAGUUAUUCAUGUUGAUCUUAACCUUGAUGGGACCUGCAUCCUUGAUCCCAGGCUUAUUAAUCUUGGUGGACUCGAUGAGGUCAAUGUUGGCAAUACUGCCAUCACGAAGCCACAUUUUAUAAUGGAAGCAACAUGGUGA
rnacentral:rRNA from 1 species